GCCACUCUCUUGCCUCUGGCGCUCAUGUCCCCCAAGGAACGCAGCGACUCUGUGCUGCCCUUCUGUGACGUCAGCGGCGGAGGCCGAACUCGGAAUUCGUUGACUUCACAGGCGCGUUCUCUUGGUCCAAGAGGGUUGAGAGAAAUCGGCUGGUACGAUUCUAGUCGGAGCCCCGGAAAGGUCACAGCCUGGCCGCGCCGCUAUCUCGGCCACUCAGGCAGUGAAAAGGUCUCUGGCCAGCAGACAUUUAAUGAGAAGACGAUAAGCAAAGGUCAGCGGCGUUUAUCCCCAGUGCUCCCCGCCGCUCCGGGCCUCAGUUUCCCCAAGAGAUAGGUCAGUUGCAGCCGGAGAAGGUGAAACAGAAAUAGCUCCGAAGGGAGUGAGUGCUUCGAGCUCAGAAAUUAAUCAUCAAGAUAAUAUUCUAAAGCAGUUUUUUAAAAUAUCAAUUAAUGGGAAAAAGAAGACGCACGGAGAACCAAAUGUCAAACAAAUGCAGUCAUUCUGCUGGCACCUAGGUUAGGGGAAAGUGGCUCUGUGUUCAAAUAUUUUUGUUUAUUGAGUCAGGAUUCUUUUCUAAAUGAGAUUCUAACUGCUUUUUCCACUAGGGAAUAUAAAUAACUGUGAGAGAGAUGAUGAAUAUGUUAAUUAGUUCCUUUAUAGUAACCACUUUCGCUUUACCAAUUGAUUAAUAGCCUAUUGUCUACUUAAAAAAUGUACAAAAAUGUCCAAGAUGGGUAGAGUGGCCAUGUAGACACAGCUGCUUUGCAGGCUGAGGCAGAUAGAUUGCUUAGAACUGAGCUAUAGAGCAAGUCCCAGCUCAAAACGAUGUUUUUUGUUUUUUGGGUUUUUUUUUUUUUUGGUUUUGUUUUUUGGGUUUUUUUGAGACAAAGUUUUAGAGGCAGGGCUGGCUCCAAACCACCUCUGAAGUUGAUGGUGACCACCUCCUAGCACUAGAGAUUACAGGGGUGUACCACCACACCUUAAGUUUUGCCACCCCAAAACCUAUAGAGUUGGGGAUGGAGAAAGGCUCAAAGCUUGGAGCCUUCAUUCCAGCUCUGCUGUGUUAUAUGGACAAAGUGACUCCACCUUUCUGAGCCCAAUCCCCAUACUUCUCAUAUGCAAAGUCCAGAAUUAUACAUGUAGAAACAGACAAGUGUCUACCUUUGUCUUACCUAUAAUGUCAGAACCUCAAUAAACAGAGUCAUGCUUUAGACAGGCCCUGUAGUUGCUCUAACUGGAAAAGAGAGAAGGGAGAAAGAGGCUUCUGUGACCAUUAUUUUCUGAGGAGAGCCCCUCAAAAUGUGGGGCGUGGGGCAUGCACCACAAAACCUAGUAGAAGGAAGGCCUGGACCACUCUGCAGUCCAAGGCAGGAAGAUGGAACAUUUGAGGCCAGCCUAUGUGAGAGCUGUUGUUAACAUAAAAGUAAGAGGAAGGGGUCGAGAAUAAUCUCAAAUAGUUAAGAUCACUAGUUUCCAGAAUCUACAAGGCAAUUUGGGCUCACAACCACCUGUAACUCCAGUUUCAGGGAAUCUGACACCCUCUUCUGGCUUCUGAGGACACCAGACACAGACAUGUUGCACAGAUAUACAUGCAGGCAAAAUACCAGUACACGUAAAAAAAAAUGUAAUUGUUCUUAACAUGCUUUUAAAAGUUUAAAAAAAAAGUGAGAACAUAUGUAGCUCACCAACAGAACACCUGCCUGAAGUCUACCAUACAGGCUCUAUCUGUGGCCCAGCUGUAGGAUAGUCUCAGAAUACCCCACUGAGGGGUUGGACAUGUAGAAGGCAUAAUUGAGACCAGAAGUUCCAUCUCCAUACCACAAAACAAGAUGAGACAGGGAAUUGCAAAAAUAAAAGAGGAUGCCCACAUCUGGUGGAUGCACCUGGUUACCGGGCAAUUCUACAGAGAUGCAACAUCCCAAGCAACUAAAGCAUUCUCCCUGGUGACAGGUGAACACAUACAUGGUGGCUCCAAGGAAUAGGGUUGCCCCACCUGCACCUGGAGAUGCAGCACCCAGCUGUGUCCCUGGUCAGGCUUCCCAUGUCACAAGUGUGAGCUUCAGCAGAAGGAAACACAGCUGUUCCCAGUCCCAAGAACCCACAAGCACUGAAAGACAUCCAGGCCAGAGGGCACAGAAGCACACCUCAGCUGGCAGGGGAGCUUCACUCGUACCCCACUGCCACUUCUGUGAAGACUUGAGUUUCCAGAUUACAGGAAGAAUGCUUGUGCGAAGGGACCUAGAAGACUUGGUUGUACUUCCCAUCAUUCCCCAGCUCCCAGAAGACCCUGAACUCUGAAACAGGCAGAAUCGAGGCCAGAAAGAAUUUCUUCAACUGAAAAAGGAAGUUCAUAGUGGUUUUCUGGUGACACACCCGGCCAGAACAUGGGCCUGGUUCGAGCCUCUCGCCCACACAGCUGGUGCACCAGUUCACAGGAAGUGGAGGGGGUGGGGACACAAAUUAGAGAGUGACAAGAAGGCAUUGGUCUGGAGCUUGACUCGGUGGUAGAGAGCUUGCCUGGCAUGCUCAAGGCCUGGAUUUAUCUCCAACAUGAAAAAAAGGGAUGUGAGGGAAGUCUCAGUGGAUAAAUCCCUUGCCUUGUGAAUAAGCGGAUCUGAAUGUGAUGUCAGUCCCGGAAAAGUGAAGAGCGGAGGGUUCUUAAGGCUUGAUGGCCAGCUCACCGAGUCAUUGAGCUCCAUGCCACUGAGAAGCAUGCGUGGGGACUGACAGCCAGUGGUGCCCUCUGCCCUCCAUUUGAACACACACAUACUCCUGCGCCUGAACGCUGUUGGGUAGCAGAUUACAACCUUGCAUCUUGGAAGAAAGUUUUUUUAAAGCACAGGAUGGAUGUUAAAAGAGAGAUUAAUCAAUAAAGUGUUCUAGCCUGA